rnacentral:rRNA from 1 species
CCGGCGACCGGCGCACGGGUGAGUAACACGUAUGCAACCUGCCCUCUUCAGGGGGACAACCUUCCGAGAGGGAGGCUAAUCCCGCGUAUAUCGGUUUCGGGCAUCCGAGAUCGAGGAAAGAUUCAUCGGAAGAGGAUGGGCAUGCGGCGCAUUAGCUAGACGGCGGGGUAACGGCCCACCGUGGCGACGAUGCGUAGGGGUUCUGAGAGGAAGGUCCCCCACACUGGUACUGAGACACGGACCAGACUCCUACGGGAGGCAGCAG